UUGCUUCAGCAGCACAUACACUAAAACUGGAACAAUAAAGAGAAGAUUAGCCUGGCCCCUGAGCAAGGAUGGCAUGUGCAUUCAUGAAGCAUUCCAUAUUUUU